UACGUAGGCAGCGAGCGUUGUUCGGAGUUACUGGGCGUAAAGAGUGCGUAGGCGGUUUUCUAAGUUUGGUGUGAAAUCUCCCGGCUUAACUGGGAGGGUGCGCCGGAAACUGGAAGGCUUGAGUAUGGGAGAGGUAAGCGGAAUUCCUGGUGUAGCGGUGAAAUGCGUAGAUAUCAGGAGGAACACCUGCGGGGGAGACGGCUUACUGGACCAUAACUGACGCUGAGGCACGAAAGCGUGGGUAGCAAACAGG
rnacentral:rRNA from 1 species